CGAAGCCUUACCGUGAUAUCUCGAAAUAACACGAUCGAGCAUACAAGAUGGCGGCCCAUUAAAGAGUUCAUAUAUACGUGUAGUUGUUUUGUGCAGUGAUUCUGUAGUUUUUUUCUUAACAAUAAUUUACCAAGUAUAAGCAUGGGUACGUCAGAUCUAGAAUGUUUAGAGUCUAAGAGAGAUAUUGUUGGUAUAGAUUCUGAAUCUGACAUGUUGAACGACCAAAGAAAGAAAAAGAAAAGAAAGCAUAAGCAUCACAAGCAUAAGAAAGACAAAAUAAUUGAAAGAGAAGAUGGAAAAAUUGAUCGGCAAGAACGGAAAAGACAUAAGAAACAUAAGCGACCCAAAAAGGAAAAAGAGGUCGAAAAUGGAUCUUUGGAAGAAAAACCACCUAGAACAAUUCAAAAAGAUGUUGGUGUUAAUGGCAAAGUGAAAAAUUCGUUACUAGAAGUGGUUUCUACAGAAGAAAGUGAAGAUGAAAAAUUAAUAGAUUUAGAUUCAGAUGAAGUAGACUGUACAAUCAUUGAAGAUGAUAUUGAUCUUGAGGAGUUAAUGAAACAAAAGGAACGGUUACAAGCAUGUUUAGUACAAUAUCUAUCGGAUGAAUCUGAAAAGGAGGAUAAAGAACCAGAACAAGAUGAAGUUAAAGCUACGGAAACACCUGAUGUUAUACUUGUUGAAGAUGAUAGCGAAAAUGACAAUAUACCUCCUAAGAAACGAGCUAGAAGCAAAUCUGGCAGUAGGGAACGUAAAAAAAUAACAAAACCUGAAAGACGCGUUGUAGUCGAUAUGAGCAGAGAUCGAAGAAGUCGAGAUGACCAUAAAGACAAACGAAGAGAUUCUGACAGGAGACGAGAGGAUAAAGUACGUACUAAAGAAGAAUUAAGGAGGGACGAUAAUAGGAGAGAUGACAGGCAAGUACGGAAACCAAGCGAUAGGCAUAGAGAGGAUCCUCGGAAAGAUGAUAAUAAAAGAAGGUCAGAAGAUGAAAAGCGUAAAGAUUCUAUUAAAAGAGACGAAUCACGUAAAAGAGAACAAGACAGACGAGAAGAAGAUCGACGGCGAGAUGUAGAUCAUCAUAAUAAUGCUAGAUCUCGUAAUGAUUACAAACCCGUAGAUAGGUCCGAUAAAGUUUCUGCGUCGAGACGCGACAGUCGCGAUAGAUUGGGAAGCCGAGAACGGCAAAGCAGUCGAGAUCGUCAUGCGAGUAAAGAUCGACCUGCUAGUCAUGAUCGUCGUAGCCGUGAUAGACCCUCCAGUAGAGAUCGGCAUAGUCGUGAUAAAAGGGACAGCAGAGAGCGCCAUGCUAGCAGAGAUCGGCACAGAGAUGGUCGAAGCAGUCGUGAUCGUAAUGAUCUACGAGAUCGACGUGAUAGUCGAAAUCGCGAAAGAAUUCGGGAACGCUCGAGAAGUAUAAGAAGAUCUCGUAGUCCUGUUAGAAGUAGGCUGGAUAGAGAUCGCAACGAUCGGUACAAACCCUCGAGGUCGUUGUCUCGAAGUCGAAGGGACAGGGACAAGCAUGCUAGAGACCACGAUAGAGAUAGAGAAAAGAAUGGUAAGAGGGAACGUAGCGAUAAAUAUAAAGACUCUUUAUCUGAAGGACUCAAAGUUGAACAUUCGGAAACUUCGAGUGAAGAAGAUAUCAAAGACAUUGAUAUUGAAGAAGAGGAAGAUGAGGAAGCAAUUAUAGAACGUAGAAGAAAACAAAGAGAAGAACUUCUCAAAAGGUUAGGCGGUCCAAAUGAAGAUUCAAACAUGUCUGGGGACAUAAACACUGUUCCUGCUACUCCACCUUCAGAAAGCCAAUCAAACGUAUCGCAGAAGUCAAUAGAAAUCCCAUCUAAUAAUAAUGAAUCCACAUCAGAAAGUCAUACCCCACCAUUACCUGAAAAACCAAAGUCACCGCAACCAGUUAAAAAAAGAAAGUCUAGAUUUGAAGACGCGCCAUUAGAAGAUAUUGACAAAAUUGACGAUCUAAAAACAAUAGAGAAAAUUAAACCAGACGAAAAACUUAACGCGAAAAAGUCAAACGAAUGGGAUAUGUUCGCUGAAGCAGAUAACAUUGGCGAUUUUAAUAGUCCCACUGUCGAAGGUAAGCGACAAGGUGGACCAGAUAAUCCAAGUUUAACGGACAAUUGGGAUGAUGCAGAAGGAUAUUAUAGAGUACGAGUGGGCGAAACGUUAGAUUCGCGAUAUGUCGUUUACGGAUACACGGGUCAAGGUGUAUUUAGUAAUGUUGUAAGAGCUAGAGACAGCGCUAGAGGCAAUUUGGAUGUUGCUGUAAAAAUAAUCAGGAAUAAUGAAAUAAUGCAUAGAACUGGCCUUAAGGAAUUAGAAAUUCUUAGAAAACUGAAUGAUGCAGAUCCAGAAGAUAGAUUUCAUUGUUUACGACUUUUUAGGCAUUUCUUUCACAAAAAUCAUUUAUGUAUGGUUUUUGAACCUUUAGCUAUGAAUUUAAGAGAGGUUUUAAAAAAAUAUGGGAAAGACGUUGGUUUACAUGUUAAAGCGGUAAGAUCGUAUACGCAGCAACUUUUCCUUGCUCUCAAGUUAUUAAAACGUGCAAAUAUUCUGCAUGCUGACAUCAAACCGGAUAACAUUCUAGUCAGUGAAAGCAAGUUAGUAUUGAAACUUUGCGAUUUCGGAUCCGCAUCCCAUGCUCACGAGAAUGAAAUAACACCAUACUUAGUAUCAAGAUUUUAUCGAGCACCCGAAAUUAUUCUUGGUAUACCGUAUGAUUUCGGCAUUGACAUGUGGUCCGUGGGAUGCACCAUAUAUGAAUUGUACACGGGAAAAAUAAUGUUCUCGGGCAAAACAAACAACCAAAUGUUGAAAUUCUUCAUGGACCUAAAAGGCAAAAUGCCUAAUAAACUGAUUAGGAAAGGCACAUUCAAGGACCAGCAUUUUGACACAAACUGCAAUUUCCUCUAUCAUGAAGUUGAUAAGGUCACAGAGCGGGAAAAAGUUGUCGUGAUGUCAACGUUAUCUGCCACUCGUGACCUUACCGCUGAGUUAGGUGGAAACUCCUUGCCGCCGGAACAAAAUAGAAAGGUUGGGCAACUGAAGGACCUCUUGGAGCGAACGUUGAUGUUGGACGCGGGAAAGAGAAUCACUGUGAACCAUGCCCUGGCACAUCCCUUUAUACAAGAAAAGAUCUAGGUAACCCUGUCCGGGGUCCUUCCACAUCGGAGAAUUCAUUAACGUAACUUUGCAAAAUGUUUGAAAUGACACCGCUAACGAUUCGUUGUAUACUAUAAAACAUACUAACAUAAGGCGGUGUCUCCUUAUAUUGACUGUGUCCUGUAUCCGUUUUAGCAGAAAGAGGCGGUGCAAAAUUUCACGUUUCACUCGCUCCUUCUCAAUAAUAAUGAAAAAACUUUUGGAAAUAUAUAUAUAUAUACACACACACAAACAUACAAGGGAAACAAAUGAAUUUUAAUCAAACGCAUGACAUUGUACUCUAUCAAUCUGAACUGUAUUAUUUAAUGAAUGAUAACUAUUGCAGGUCAAUAGAGUGCAAUAUUUUUAUAAUAAUUAUAACCAAUACGAACGAUGAAUAAGACAUUGGAGUUCACCGAUGCAUUUACCAACGCAAAAAGCGACAUAUUUGUACGACUCGGAACAAUGUAGUGUAUCAGGGCGUAAAAAUCUUUUUUGCGUGUAAAUUUUUGAAUACAAGUUUCGCUUAGAUUUGGUUUAUUUCUUCUCUUUCUCUGUGCACAGCAGCUAUAAAUAAUAAAUCAACGAUGACGCUAGAAGAAGAGGCUCGCUGAAUUACGUGGUAAUCGUAUUCUCUUCCGUGGACGAUAUGAACUGGGAAAAGUGACCGCCUCUUUCAGCACUGGCCAUCGAUACUUAGCAUAAUGGUGAUGAGUCUUCGAUUCAAAGCAUCGUUAAGCGCGAGUGGACCUUUGUGGGCUUUUAACGCCGAUCCCGUUGCAAGCCCUCCCUGUGAGGAGGGGAGGCAAUGGAAGAGGUGAUGAAAUCAGUUGAUGGAAAGCAAUGAUGAAGGAAAUGGCGUGAGAUCGUCGCAGCUGCAGCUUGACAACUGUAUUAAAAUGGUGCCUAUCGCCGAAAGGAUCGCCGAAUAUUUAAUUAAAUUUAUAUCAGCAGGAAGGUUUGUCUUGUUUCGUUGAAAUUAAUGAAAUCGUAAGUAUGUGAACAGGUAAGGUACAUAUGCGUGAGAAUUACAAAUUAUUACAUUAAAUUAAAACAAAAUACUUAAGUUAUAUUAAAAAUAACAUAAUACUAAUAUUUAUGGCCUUCAGUUUUCAGAUUGCUAAAUACAAAAAUCUUAGAAAAUAAUUAGAAUACAGUGAACAAGUUUUAGAUGCAAAAAGUACUAUAAUGUGACAUGUAAUUCGAAAAGUGUAACACGGAAACAAUGAUCAGAACAAAUUACACAUAUAUUUAGCGGGAUAAUUAAGUUUAUUUCAUGUUACAUUUUAAUAUAGUAUUUUAUAUUUAGAUGUAAAGAGCAAAUCACAUUUACAGCCAUAGAAUAUCCCUUUCGUUAAUAUUUAACAUUGUUAGCAUUUUUUUUUUAUCAUGAAUAUGUAAUUUAUAUGAAAUUUAGAUUUAUAAUACAUCUCUUGGAUAUAUUGUCAUCUUUGUUUCAAACGUCUAUGUAAAAUAUAAGUACAUUCUUUAAACAUU